rnacentral:rRNA from 2 species
UACGUAGGUGGCAAGCGUUGUCCGGAUUUAUUGGGUUUAAAGGGUGCGUAGGCGGUCUAUUAAGUCAGUGGUGAAAUAUGGCAGCUUAACUGUCAGGGUGCCAUUGAUACUGAUGGACUUGAGUGAAGUCGAAGUAGGCGGAAUUGACGGUGUAGCGGUGAAAUGCUUAGAUAUCGUCAAGAACACCGAUAGUGAAGACAGCUUACUAGGCUUAUACUGACGCUGAGGCACGAAAGUGUGGGGAUCAAACAGG